CUAGAACACAUUAAAAAAAAUGUUGCUUUUCUUGCGUGCUCAGAGGAAGCUGGGGCAUCCUGCUUAAGAACCAGUUUACAUUUUUUCCUCUACUAGGUCCUGGAUACUGUCUCCAUGGUGAUAACAGCUGUGCCAUGUCAUUUAUCAAUCCACCAACAGAAGAAGGCUUUUAAGCAAGAUAAUGUUUAACUUGAGACAGCAGGGUUUCUGUUGGACACUAAGAAAUGCCUAGUACAAAA